GGGGUGGGGUUCAUCCCACCCAGACCACAGAGACUGAAAAUAAGAAAGGGGUGAGGCCUAAGGGACAAUCAGGAUGUUUUUCAGAGAGAAGUGUGGAUGCUGGACAGGAAGAACCACAGAUACCAGAUACGGGACAUACUUUAUUCAGCUGGGUGCUGAAAAAGAAUCUUGGAAAUUAGGAAACUGAAUGAGGCCUCAUUUCACACUCAGAAUGUGGGUUGCAAUAGUCACUUCCUCUGCUGCUGGGAAAGAAAGAAUUAUACUACCUUUUGAAUUUUGGAUUAAGGAGAGAGGUGUUGGCUUGUCAAACUACCAUGUAUUCCUCAAGACAUAUUUUUGUGGCUUUAUAAAAUUCAAUAUAUAUGUCUAAAUUCAAAAAUAUUUUGUUGCAAUCUGGCCCUUGGACAAACUGAGGCCCUAGCAACUGAUGUUUAUGGCUUUCCGUAGAACCUUUCAGAUAAAAUUUACACAGCAUUUUACUGCAGCUAUUUCACACAAAGCAGAGGAUUUUGCCACAAAACUGAAAGAAAAAAGAAACUGCAUUCUUAAAUUUUUCAUAAAUCAAAAGGUAUAAAAAUAUCUACCUAAACGAUAAAGGAGAUGAGAAACCCCACCCAUGAUGGGAAGAAAGCCUAUUUCAGUUUUGCCUUUACUUCAAGUUCUUUUUUCCAUAUCUGGAAUGCAAUCAGAAUUUUAAUCUUGCCUUGGGUUCCUCCUGGAUUUGGGGAGAAGACAAAACCUGAAAAUCUCUAAUCUGCAUGUGUUCAGCUGCGUAUCUUCUGGAUACGGAAGGAUCACACUGCACAGAGUGCUGGACUUGCAGGAGCCCCGCUUCUCAACCUCCAUCGCUUUAUGAAUGAAUUCACCAGAAAGAAAAGGAAGAAUCAACACUUUCAGAGAUGGAGCCUGUUGAGCCACAGUACCAACUAGUCAAUGCUGAAUCGACUUCUCCCUUUCUACAUUGCCUGAGAGAAGUCAUUGGGGAAUACUCUGUACACGAAUUUUCACUGUUGGGGAAAACAGGUAUUGGAAGUGAUGGGUAGACCUCAGUUUGUAUGCAUUGUGUUAAUUACUAUUUCUUUGCUUUUCCUUUUUUUGUGCGGUUGCAGAGAGUCAAGGGAUUGGAUUGUGGAUUGCAUUGGUGGUUUUCCUCAGUUUCCUCAUCUUCUCCACAAGUUUCUACAUAUCGAAUGCAGAGCAGCCCUUCUUCAAAGGACCUCCUACGGAAGCUGCUAAGGAACUCAGUCUGUAGCUCUGCGUGGAGCCAUGUGUAAACACUGAACUGAGACCUGCCACCUCCUACUACCUAAGGGCCCAUUUUCAUCUGAUAUCAUCCCCCAGAAACAAACUCAUGAUGACUUCCAUGUUUUUUUUAGAUUAGAUACAUGGAGAAUUUUCCUUUCCCUUAGAAUUAAAAUCCUGCAUUCUAAUUUUCAGUAAGCUUUUUUAUUUCUGAAUAAUUUUAAAUUUAAAGAGAAGUUGCAAAGAUAGUAUAGAAUGUUCCCUUAUACCUGUUUUUAUUUAGAGUGAUGUUCCCAGGAGAAAUGAUAAUGCAGCAAUGGACAAGAACAGGAACAAGAGACAGUCUUACCAUCUUCUUACAAUUUAUAGAUGGGACAGUGGAAAGAGAAGCCACAUCGGGGUUGGGCAUGCAGAGACCUGGUCCUAAAUCUGUGUGACUUUUGCGAAAUCCUUUUGCCUCACAGAGCUCUAGGUUCUUAUCUGUCAAACAGGAACCAGACCAUCAGAUCCGUAGAGAUCCAACCAAUGAAGGAGACUUCGAAAACUUCACAUUGCCGUGUCAAUGUGAGGUUGCUGGAUGGUUAUGACAAGAAAUCACAUUAAAUUCACUGGGGUAACAUUGUUCAUGAAACGGGAUAAUGUGUUUCAGCGAUGAACCACCCAUGGCCUUACUACAGACAUAUUUCCACUUUGAAAAUGUGUGUGAGUGUACAUGUCUGUGUGUGAGGCAGAGAUUAGAAAGUGUAAAUGUGUGCGUUUUCAUUUUACACAUCUUACAUUUUCCUUUAAUUUGUUUGAAAGCCUGUUUUGUUUGUGGCUUCCAUUCCUGGAAGUCCCAUGAGUUGUUAGUGGUGAAGAUGGAACAGAUGUGUCCAACCCGGGGGACUCCUGCCCUCAGGGACUGAGCAGCUGCAAACCUCUCUCUCAUCUGAUUCCACUGUUUCUUCCACAUGUACACAUCAUGAGAAAUAUUGUUCAAUCAAUAUCUUCCCUUAAAUCAACUCAUAUGCUUAUUUACAUGAAUUUACCUAAAACAGAAACUUGAUAUCACUUCUGUAAAUGAAAAAAUUAAACUUUCUGGCUUUAAAUAAAGCAUAACAAUAAUAAUCAUGUCAAAA
ensembl:lncRNA LINC00943 long intergenic non-protein coding RNA 943